GCCUGAAUGGCUCGGUUGGGCAUCUGACUUCAGCUUCGGUCAUGAUCUUGUGGGUCGUGGGUUCAAGCCCCACUUUGGGCU
rnacentral:tRNA from 1 species